AACAGAACAUGGCACAACAGAGUCCUUGGCAGCCUUGUCUCUGAGGUUCUUCAUUUUUCGGUCAAGAGAUAGAAGGUGGUUGGAGUCAUCUUAAAGACCUCCUCACUCUCUCAUGUCUGCUGAUUGAUGCACACUAUUGGCUGAGACCUUAGCUGGAGCUGUCUGUUGGGACACCUGUAUGUGACCUCUCCAUGUGGCCCGGGCUUCCUCACAACAUUGCGGCUGGGUUCCAAAAGCAAGCAUCCCAAGAAACAGAGAAAGGCAGAGGGAGAUCCCAAACCCAGACAUCUGGAGGAGAUCACACGAAGAUGGGGGCAGAGACUGAAGUGACGUGGCCACCAGCCAAGGAACACCUGGAACCUCCAGAAGGUGAAAGUGUCAAGGGAAGAUCCCCAUGUAAAGCUUUUGUACAGAACGCGGCCCUUGCAUCUCCUUGGUUUUAGACUCUGGAUUCCACAACUGGGAAAGAAUAAAUUCCUGUCAUUUUAA